rnacentral:rRNA from 1 species
CCCUUAGAUGUCCUGGGCCGCACGCGCGCUACACUGAUGCAUUCAACGAGUUCACCUUGGCCGAGAGGCCUGGGCAAUCUUUUGAACGUGCAUCGUGAUAGGGAUAGAUUAUUGAAAUUUUUAAUCUUGAACGAGGAAUUCCUAGUAAACGCAGAUCAUCAAUCUGCAUUGAUUACGUCCCUGCCCUUUGUACACACCGCCCGUCGCACCUACCGAUUGAAUGGUCCGGUGAAGCCUCGGGAUUGUGGCCAGUUCCCUUUGUUGGGAGUUGGUUGCGAGAACUUGUCUAAACCUUAUCAUUUAGAGGAAGGUGAAGUCGUANCA